rnacentral:rRNA from 1 species
UACGAAGGGGGCUAGCGUUGCUCGGAAUUACUGGGCGUAAAGGGCGCGUAGGCGGAUAUUUAAGUUGGGGGUGAAAUCCCGGGGCUCAACCUCGGAAUUGCCUUCAAAACUGGAUAUCUUGAGCUCGGGAGAGGUGAGUGGAACUCCGAGUGUAGAGGUGAAAUUCGUAGAUAUUCGGAAGAACACCAGUGGCGAAGGCGACUCACUGGCCCGAUACUGACGCUGAGGCGCGAAAGCGUGGGGAGCAAACAGG